GUAUUAAAUUUUUUAUGCCCUCAUGUUGGAAAAAAAACCAAUAAUCCACACCCACCCUUCCUCCUCUUUCCUCCCAAAACGAGAAAAUCGAUGAUUAUAGAAUAACCUCUUCAUUAAUCGUGCAUGAUGAGAUUGCCAACAUGUUGUACACACUUUUUUUCUUCGUUUUUUUAUUUAAAAAAAAAAAAAUCAAAAAAAAAAUCAAAAUCCAAUUCUAAGUUGUCACUUAAAAAGUUUAAAAGUUUAAAAGUUUUUGAAGUUUAUUGGCCUUCCAAGCAAAGAAAUAACAUUGUGGACUAUGCUAUCAUUUAUAGUGGAAUUGGUUGUAGGGUGCAGCAACUACAUGCUAUGUGGCAUUGCAUCCACAGGUUAAAGGGAUGACCGGGAAAUAUUUUGCAGACUGUAACCUAGCUGAAGCAAACUCGCAAGCCAACAAUACUGAAAUGGCAAAGAAAUUGUGGGAUUUCAGCUUGAGAUUGAUUAACCAAUGCACUCAAAUUUCUUAGAGGGGGCGGCAACGACAUGUUAUGUGGCAUUGCAUCCACAAGUCGAGGGAAAAAGUGGUGAAUAUUUCAGUGACAGCAAUGUGGCCAAAGCAAGUGGACACGCUAUGAACAUCGAGUUGGCAAAGAAACUCUGGGAUUUCAGCAUGAACUUAGUUAAGUAAUGUACUCCUAAUUUCACAAAAUCCACUGUACCUCAAAAAUAAGAAUAGUACAUAAGCUAGUUGAAUGGUGUUUGCCCUGCUUUGUUAACAAAGAACAAUCUGAUAAAUCCUUGAAUUGUAAUAAUUUGAUUAAUCGUUUAUACUUAUUUACUCGUAUUAUUUGAGGAUUACA